rnacentral:ncRNA from 2 species
CGAGUUGGCGCGGGAGAGUGCGACCCCCAAGGGGUGGCCACCGAAGGCGUAAUGCCCGAAAUCGCUCAGGUUCCCGAACCGCACCGACGUU